rnacentral:misc_RNA from 1 species
AGAGCCAUCGCUUUUCCUUGUAAAGCAGAGGAACAGCUUAUCAGUGAAACUCUGUCAUCUACUACUGAACCUUUACCAUUUCUGCACAAAAGAGCCAUCGCAGCCGUUUGUCUUUCUUGAAAGCAGCAUCUGCAUUUACUUAAAGACUAUUUGAAGCCGGACGUUGCCAGUGUUGCUUUUGUCUAGAAAUGGAGCUUCGUGUCUUGGGGGUGAGCUGUAAGCACCUGGAGUCUUUCCUGAAUUUGAUCAGUUAAGCAGAUAUGAGAUUCUGAAUAUCUUCACACCUCUCUUUGCCAGAUUUUCCAUUGUUGGCAAAGAGUUGUCACAGCUCUUCGCAAAAAAUGCCAAAUCUUUGGUUGCUCUGGCAGGUUCCAAAGACUUUUCCCAUCAAAAUCUUCUGAUCUCCUAGAGGAUAGAGGAACUGCAUGAUGAAGUUGACUCAGAUGAGAAUUGCGUAGGUAAUGCAGAGAUUUCACAGUAAAAGAGACUAAUUUUCAGGAUGCCACACUACUUGUUAAGACCCAACUCUUACUUUUGAAAUUCCUGCUAUUUCUUCCGCAGUAAACAAUGCAUUCAGGAUUGGUGAAGAUGAAUUUCUGAGUUUGCUCUUAAUGCGAUAAUUCCUCUUAUUGUUCUUCUAUUUUUUUUUUCUCUUUCCGUAACGGGAAGAGUGAAGAAGACGAGGAAGGUUUGCUUGGGUGACAAGGAGGAUGGGUUUAUGCAGUAUUAAAAUGACACACAAGACGUCAAGGGAGAGUGAGAGAGAGAGAAGAGAGGGUCAAAGAGAGAGAGAGAGAAAUAGUGGGAGAGAGAAGAGUGUGAGAGAGUUGAAAAUUGUUAAU